GCACCACGUUUGGUCCACCCACAUUGUGUCAACAGGCACGCGACAGAAAUGGCCGAAAACGGAUUCCGGAUUUCAUGAUGAACCCGUUAAAUAGAGCAGAAUUUAACCGUUGAAAUGCACAUUAGCCUACUAGUAGCAGUUGGUUUGAUGGUCAUGCCCUUGCUUUGCCUUUGAAUACGAACUAUGUCGUCGGUGGUCGAUUCUCUUAUGAAGAUAUUUAGUAAAUCUUUCUGUCAUAACUGGGUAACAGGGGGAGCGUUCACCGACUGGGUGACCGACUCUUCCUCCGCCCCGUCUACUCUAAGUGGGAGAUUAGCAGCGGUGCUGAAUAAAUAGGGCACAGGUUUCACGGGAGGCACUCGCCUAUCUUGCUAGGACCACUCGUGGGGAUUUCUUGUGAUCUUGUCCCUCCUGCACCGUGUUGCAGAACGUUACAGUUUUCGGACGCGGUGGUCCUCUGUCUGGGUCCUGGCUCUCUGUCUUCCGGCUCUCUAUAUCUCUCUCAGCUAUACGGUCGGUGUUCUGUCCACUAGUCAAUAAUAUAAAUUAGUGUAAUCGUAUUGUAAUGACUAUGCACUCCUCUCAGGGUCUGUGGCGUUUCGUGGGGUUGCUGUUCUGUUCCCCUUGCCUGUGCGGCCCAAUCUCCCAGCUGUCGUGAGCUUCUCUCCUCGUCUCCCCGGCCUGCUCGUCCAAUCUCUGCUAGCUGUCAAGUUGGACUACUUGCUCGAGGCUUCUGCUCGGGGUGCCUGCGUGUGUAUUUGAAUGCUAGUGCAUGUCGUGGUGUUUGGGUGCUUCUCGUUGUUUUGUCGUUUUGUUUGUAUGUUUGUAUGCUAGAAUAAGCGUUGGUGGCUCUGUCGCUUGCUGGCUUCCUCCCCUGCUUGUGGCUCAAUGUAUCCCACUCUAGUUGUGUAGGCUACUUCCCUUUUUUUUUUUUUUUUUUUUUUACUUUUUUUAAUUUAGUUUGGUUUAUAUAUGAGUUUAUAUCUUGUGAUUUGCAGUGAAAAGCAUGUUUUGUUUUUGUACAGGGAUUUAUCACCCAGGAAGUAGGGCAUUCGUCGGGGUAAGCAAGGUAGCUUGAAUAGGAAGUCACCUUGCAUACUUGUGGAUCCAUGAAUUGCUAUGCUCUGUGUAUUUGAAGAUGGACAAAUAAAUUAUCUUUUGUAUCAGAUAAA